GAAGCACCACCCAGACAGUCUGGCUUUGUAUGUAUAUAAGCAUGUAUGUCUAAAAACUAGAUCAGUUGGUCGACAAAAUACACUUUUCCACAGACAACCAGAUCAGAGUUUUGUCAGACAAAAUCUUCUCAAACGAAAUAGAAUUUCAUCCAAUGGAGGAAGAAGCAAUGGAAGUUGAUGGUGCUUCAGAUGAACCACAACCUAUGGAAAUUGAUCAAGAGGAACUAGUCGACCAACUCGCCCACCCCCGUGAAGAAAAACAGCCAGACAAGAAAGGGCUAGACUUCCAGAACAUGCCUCCAUGGAAUAAACAGCAAGAGAGUUUCCUGCAAAUAACACAUGAGCAUCAUGAAAUGUGGGUGUUGUAUCACCAUGACCUGAUAGCAAGGGAUGGGCCUUCUGUCAACGGACAGUAUCUGCAUCCAUGGAAUUUAACAGAAUUCGUCCUGCAAACGCGACAUCAGUUCCAUGACAUGUUGCAUUACAUCAAUCUAAUAGCUCGGAAAAGGCCUGAUGACAUGACGAAAGCACCAUGAUGUAAACAUUGUGAUGUAAAUAUGGUGUAGUUUCUU